UUGUAAAACACUUUUGGAUUCUAUGAGAAAUUUCUGCCAAUUCUGAAAUUCUUCUCAACUUAGCAAAUGCUUGCCAAAGUCACUUGUUCUCUCAACUCUCUCCCACCUCUUAGCUUUCUUCCAACAAUGGAAGCUGCCUGAAGCUAGGACCACACCACCUCCUUCUCUGCCGUCAACAUCCACUCUGAUUCCAUCAACUUCCGCUGCCACCUGCUGGAAAUCCUUCCUUCUCGGGUCCAGUCUUCAAUCAAGCAAUGGAGAGGCUUAUCA
rnacentral:lncRNA from 1 species